rnacentral:rRNA from 1 species
GACGAACGCUGGCGGCGUGCUUAACACAUGCAAGUCGAACGGAAAGGCCCUGCUUUUGUGGGGUGCUCGAGUGGCGAACGGGUGAGUAACACGUGAGUAACCUGCCCUAGACUUUGGGAUAACUUCAGGAAACUGGGGCUAAUACCGGAUAGGAGCUCCUGCUGCAUGGUGUGGGUUGGAAAGUUUCGGCGGUUGGGGAUGGACUCGCGGCUUAUCAGCUUGUUGGUGGGGUAGUGGCUUACCAAGGCUUUGACGGGUAGCCGGCCUGAGAGGGUGACCGGCCACAUUGGGACUGAGAUACGGCCCAGAAUCCUACGGGAGGCAGCAGUGGGGAAUAUUGCACAAUGGGCGGAAGCCUGAUGCAGCAACGCCGCGUGCGGGAUGACGGCCUUCGGGUUGUAAACCGCUUUCGCCUGUGACGAAGCGUGAGUGACGGUAAUGGGUAAAGAAGCACCGGCUAACUACGUG